rnacentral:rRNA from 1 species
UGGGGAAUAUUGGACAAUGGGCGCAAGCCUGAUCCAGCCAUGCCGCGUGUGUGAAGAAGGCCUUUUGGUUGUAAAGCACUUUAAGCGAGGAGGAGGCUACUUGGAUUAAUACUCUAGGUUAGUGGAUGUUACUCGCAGAAUAAGCACCGGCUAACUCUGUGCCAGCAGCCGCCGUAAUACAGAGGGUGCGAGCGUUAAUCGGAUUUACUGGGCGUAAAGCGUGCGUAGGCGGCUUCUUAAGUCGGAUGUGAAAUCCCUGAGCUUAACUUAGGAAUUGCAUUCGAUACUGGGAAGCUAGAGUAUGGGAGAGGAUGGUAGAAUUCCAGGUGUAGCGGUGAAAUGCGUAGAGAUCAAGAGGAAUACAGAGGGCGAAGGCAGCCGUAUGGCCUAAUACUGACGCUGAGGUACGAAAGCAUGGGGAGCAAACAGG